CUUACACAGCUCUGAUUUCCACCCAUGAACUCAGGAAAUGACACAAAAAUCUGUGAGGAUCCCACAGCACAAGGCCCUCCCUCAGAACUCCUCCACAUUUACACUAAAUCUUUGUUUCUGUACAUAAAUUUAGACCAUUUUCAUUGUUCCCAAGGAAAUUUGCAUGGCCUUUUUGCAUGACCUCCUUACAUGACCCCACAAAUUGCCUACAAAUAUAUACACACAAAUAUAUACUAGAAACAGAAAAAAAACCUUCCAGUUCUGAAGAAUGAAGGUAAAAAACAUCAGAACUGAAAAAUUAAUGACAAGAAUUAACUGUAUUUAUUGUCAAUAUUGACUAUUCUGCAGCUUUACAAGUAUUUCAUCCCCAUAUUAUAAUAAAAACAUCUUCAGAAUAACUCAGACUGUGCAACAAGAGAGUAACAACACAAGCUGUAAUUUAAGAAGUGGUAAUAGCAUCAAGAAAGUAUUAGUUCUUAAAUUAAUUUAAAAUGUAUUAAUCAAAAAACAAUAAUGAAGAACUCAGCAGUGUUACUCAAGAAAAAGAGCCAAAAAUAACAUUUUCUGUCCAAAAGCCUGUUCACAGCUCCAUACACCAGGUACAAAGGCCUAAGGGAUGCACAGCUGGGCUAAACCAGACAAAAGUAACAGAAUGGUGGCUUCUCUUGGAAUCAAUAGUUAACAGGAUUCCAAGGAAAACUAAAAGCAGUUUUCAGAAGUUGUAUCAAAGUCAAUAAUGGAGUUAAGAGGAGCAGGCAGGAAAAGACUUUAAGGCAGCUCACCACAAAAAUGUCCCAGGAGAAUCAUGGAAUGCCACUCUGGUUUGGGUUGGAAGGGACCUUAAAAUCAUUUAUUCCAACUGUGUGCCAUGGCUGCCACCAUGGCAGGCCUGGGACACUGCAGGGCAGCCACAGGGCAGAGCAGCACAGGGAGGAGCAGGAGCCAGAGCCCAUCCUGCCGGGAAGAGUGUGUCCCAAAGGAAACAGCUCCAGCCAGCAGGGCUAAAAACACAGCUGCAAGGAGAAGGAAUGUGGGAAGGCAUGUUGGCAUCUCCUGCAUCCUAACACGGGCUUUGCUGCAAUUCUUGUUCCUCAGAACUCUGAGAAUUCCAUCCUGUGUGUUAUUUACAGAGAGGUGAUCCCAUGGGAUCAUCCCACAGAUACAGCUGCCAGGACCCAAGGUUAUCCCAUGGGAUCACCCCACAGAUACAGCUGCCAGGACCCAAGGUUAUCCCAUGGGAUCAUUCCACAGAUACAGCUGCAAGGACCCAAGGUUAUCCCAUGGGAUCAUCCCAUGGACAGAGCUCCUGCAGCUGCCAGGACCCAAGGUUAUCCCAUGGGAUCACCCCACAGAUACAGCUGCAAGGACCCAAGGUUAUCCCAUGGGAUCAUCCCACGGAUGCAGCUGCCAGGACCCAAGGUUAUUCUAUGGGAUCAUCCCACGGAUGCAGCUGCCAGGACCCAAGGUUAUCCCACAGGAUCACCCCACGGAUGCAGCUGCCAGGACCCAAGGUUACUCUAUGGGAUCACCCCAUGGAUGCAGCUGCCAGGACCCAAGGUUAUUCUAUGGGAUCACCCCACGGCUGCAGCUCCUGCAGCUGCCAGGACCCAAGGUUACUCUAUGGGAUCACCCCACGGCUGCAGCUGCCAGGACCCAAGGUUAUUCUAUGGGAUCACCCCACGGCUGCAGCUGCCCGGCCCCCAGGACCCCAGGAGCCCCAGGAGCCCCAGGAGCCCCAGUCCCCCCGGGCGGGGCAGGAGCCCCCUGGCACAGCCCCGGGAUCCCCGAGCUGGAAAAGCCUCCAGGGCCACCGAGCUGUGCCCGAGCCCAGCACCGAGUGCCACAUCAGCCCGGAACACCGAACUGGGAAUUCCUCUCCGGAGCCACCUGUGGCCCCACCUCUUCUGCUUUUUCAGAAGUUCCUGCAGCCCCCAGGCUCACAGGGAGCUGUGUGGGGUGUGUGGGUGUGGAUGAGGGGCACGUCCCUGGGAUUCAGCAUUUCCGACAGGAAAACAGCAUUUCACACGUUUUAAUUCCCAUUCUUGACACCAACCAGCACAGACUCAUCACCAAACUCACCCCAAACAAACCCCCCAUCACAGGCUGAGCAGAACAGCACAUUUCACCCCAAAAACACCUAAACAGCCCCAAAAACCAAGUCAGAAAUCACAUAUUUGCUUGAAAACUGUCACUGCAUCUCCCACACACAAAGUUUAAUGCAAACAGGCACAUUUUCAACUUAAAAUCAUAAACACUGGUAGGUUUUAAAGAAUUAGCAAUUGACAUCAUCUCUAAAUGCAUAAAUAUGAUGGUACAGAGCUCCCCAGCCCAAAUUUGUAUUUGCUGCACUUCAACAAGAAUUAAGAGAACAGAAUGAGUUCCCUUCAGCUGCAUGAAAACCAGAGUCAGAAAGACAGAAAGUGGCAAAGGGGAAACAAUUCAAGGAAUGUUCUGAUCAAAUUUCAGGGUAAAAAAAAAAAGUUGCCUAGUAGAAUCUUGGUUUUCCUUUACUAUAACAAAUAGCUCUAUAAAAUGUUUUGGCUAAAUGACUUUAAUACCACAGGAGAGCUCCAGUUUGGGAUUAAUUCGAAGCCAUUAUUUUAUACACUCUGAAACAGAAUUUUGGUGCAGUGUCAGCAUUAGCCACGUCCUGGCUGCGUUUCUUUCAGGAUGACAAAGUUUGGAGAGAGAGAGAGAGGAGUACAAAGUGCAGGGAUCAAAGGAAAGCCGGGAUGGCUGCGGACACAGGAGGAUUUUCUCCUCCCCUCUGCAGCUGGAAAAGCAGAUUGUGCGCGGGGAUUGCGGGAAGGCGGCUCGGAGAGCCCGGCCCGGCUGGGCCAUGGGAACUCGGCAGGGACAGAGCGACACGGGCUGGCCCCUCCUCACCCCAGUCCUCGCUGCGAGCACCCCCAGGCCGAGCUGCUUUUGCUUUUUAACCUCUCCACGGGAUCCAGCUUUUCUUGGCUUCACUGAGCUGAAGAUGCCCAAGGAAGGAUUCCCAGCCUUCCAGGUAAAGCAGCAUUUUCUGGCUUCGUCCAGGCUCACUUUUGUACAUUUACAAAUAGGAAAAACUUAAAAACCCACCCAGCUCUGUCCUUAAACAAAAUCUGGCUUUAAAGGCUCAGGGUGGUAAAGUGACUCCACUGUGGAUAAAGCUACAAUAGAAAAAUUCCCUGGUAAGGCCCUCUUAAGGCAAGGAGAGAAUUCCUGCUCACGAUUCUCACACAUGAAAUAAAGAUACAGUGGCAACCCCUUGUAAUUAAUCCUUUUUGGCCAUUUAAUGUGUUCACUACGAUAUAUUCAAGUCACAUCUGGAUUCUCUCAGGAGCGCAGGGACGUUUUCCUUCCAGGGUGCCACUCUGGGAUCAGCCCUGCCCUGCCCAGCACUCAGCACAUUCAUCUCAAUUAGCUGAAAACGACUUUUCAGACCUAAUUAAUCUGACAAAGUCCGUGUGAGGAAGGAAGCGCCGCCACCAGGAGCUUUCCGAGGCCAAGGGUUCCUGGGCUGAGUUAUUUCAACAGGCCCUUGACAGGAAUUCCAGCCAAUCACCCUGACACAAGGACAAAUUCAGCGUUUCCUCUCCCGCAGCAAACUCAGUGAUGCCUGAUAAAUGCAGAAGUGCUUGGAGCGGCAGGGACAGAACUGUAACAAAUUUAUCACAAAUCCUGUUCAAACUUGGAAAGGCCACUCAUUUCCACACACUGGGAGGCUUUUCUAGAUAUGUAUCUCUGUUUUAAGGGAAUGGGAACCAUAGCAUAGGAAAUAAAGCUGAUUUUGGGAUUGGUUUCAGGCACUUGAGCUGCAGAGAUGUGGAAGGUGCUGUCAGGUGCAUUUACCAUUCACACAGCUACAAAAUGCUCAGCAGAGCAGCUACUCAGCCUCCCAAGAAAAAAAAGAUAUUAAAAAAUGAAAUUGUUCACAUUCCCCAAGUUUAUUUUCAACCUCUCCUCACAAUUAAAGACCUGAAUAAUUCCCAGCAUAUUCCAGGGAUAAUUUACCAAACUGAUGAUCUUCUAAACACAAAGAAACAUCUGAAGUAUCAGAUUAUUGAAAUAUGACCAGGUUUUUUUUGCUAUUAAAAUGCCAUUUUGCAGCAUUUCUUCAAGAACCACUUUUAAGGCCCCUUCCUUUUCCUAAGAAUGAAUUUCAUGGAGAACAAAGGCAGCAGAAGGCCGAGGGUGAGACAGCAGCAUCACACACCGAGGUCGUGGCUCAGGGUGAACAAUCCCUGCCCAGCAAUCCCCAAGUGCAGCAGCACUGAUGCAAAGUUCCCUGGCUCCUCUAUGGACAGGGCUGGGAGAAAAAAUGGGAAUUGCCCUCCAGGGACAAGACAAAAGCUGCCAACAAGGAGCGUCCACAGAACACAAGGGGCAGAGAUCAAAGGUUUGGCUGCUCUCCUUCCUCACGGACUAAAUUUAGAACAUUUCUCAGCUCACACGAGUGCACUGCAAAGCACCAUCAGCACCUGCUCCAGGUGAGAGUCUGGAAAUGAUCAGAGAGCCUGGAAUUGAUCAGUCUGGAAUUGAUCACAGAGUCUGGAAUUGAUCACAGAGUCUGGAAUUGAUCACAGAGCCUGGUAUUGAUCACAGAGUCUGGAAUUGGUCACAGAGUCUGGAAUUGAUCACAGAGUCUGGAACUGAUCACAGAGCCUGCAAAUUAUCACAGAGUCUGGAAUUGAUCACAGAGUCUGGAAUUGAUCACAGAGCCUGGAAUUGAUCAGAGUCUGGAAUUGAUCACAGAGCCUGGAAUUGGUCACAGAGUCUGGAAUUGAUCACAGAGCCUGGAAAUUAUCACAGAGUCUGGAAUUGAUCAGAGUCUGGAAUUGAUCAGUCUGGAAUUGAUCAGAGUCUGGAAUUGAUCACAGAGCCUGGAAUUGGUGAGAAUUUGGAAUUGAUCAGAGUCUGGAAUUGAUCACAGCAACUACUCCAGCUGAGUCUGGAACUGUCACCUCUGCUGACAUUCCCCACCAAUCCCACGGACUGAACAUCAGCAUUUAAACCCCAAAAGCCCUGGACAACACCACAAUGUGUCAGGAGACAUCAGCCACCACUGAAUUCUGGCUACAUUUCCCUCCAAAGUACAAACACACAGAAAGCUCACAGUGAGCCAUGACAUGUUUGCAGUCAGGUUAGCUCUGGGCUGUUCAGUGACCAACACACAAAACAACUGAGUGUUUGCAUUCUGAAGCCCUCAGGGCACAGCAAACCCAGCCUGGCAGCCAGGCCUGAGGUGUGCAGUCACUGCCAGGCCCUGUGGGCUCUGGGGAAACCAAGGCAAGGAGAACCUGAGAGGCCACAGCAAGGGGAAGGGGCACGGGGAGGGAAGCAGGGAAAGCAGCUGAAGUGAUGUGCAAACACAGAGAUCUGCCUGCAGCACAACUCUCACCUGCAGCACCUGCCAGAGCUCCUACACAGCACAGCCAGCAGCAGAAAUCCCAACACUGCUCCACAUCAACAGCAACAACUUUUCUGACCAAGCAAGCCCCAGCUCACCCAACCUGUGUGGAUCCAGCCCAGGGAAGACAUAAGACUCAAAAACCAAACACUUGGGUUUAGAAGCAAGUCUGCUUUUUCUUUUUUUAGACUAGAAAAUGUACAAUUCCAUUUCAUAUGCAAGUGUGCACAGAGCUCGUUGCUUGUAGAUACUGUCAGAGAAACUGAGAGAGUCUUUGCAUUAAAUUGUUAAUUCUUCAAACAUUGAUACAUUUUGCAAUACACCAGUUAAAUACCAAGAUCUAUGUGCAUGCACUAGAGAUAUAUGCAUGUACACCUUAAUGUUUAACAAAGACAGCAGAUCCCCCAGCCAGGGAGCGUUGGAGAUACCAAAAAUAGAUUAAAAAGUUAAAUUCUUUACCUGCCUUUGU